GACGAACGCUGGCGGCGUGCCUAACACAUGCAAGUCGAACGGAAAGACCCUGCUCUUGCGGGGCGCUCGGGUGGCGAACGGGUGAGUAACACGCGAGUAACCCGCCCCUGACAUUGGGAUAUCUCUAGGAAACAGGGGAUAUAAUAGCGUAGGAUCUCUUGCACCACGGUGGGGGUUGGUAAGUUUCGGAGGUUGGGGAUGGUAUCGCGGCUUAUCAGCUUGUUGGUGGGGUAGUGGCUUACAAAGGUUUCGACGGGUAGCCUGCCUGAGAAGGUGACCGGCCACAUUGGGACUGAGAUACGGCCCAGACUCCUACGGGAGGCAGCGGUGGAGAAUAUUGCACAGUGGGCGGAAGCCUGAUGCAGCGACGCCGCGUGCGGGAUGACGGCCUUCGGGUUAUAAACCGCUUUCGCCUGUGACGAAGCGUGAGUGACGGUAAUGGGUAAAGAAGCACCGGCUAACUACGUG
rnacentral:rRNA from 1 species